rnacentral:rRNA from 1 species
UACGUAGGGCGCAAGCGUUGUCCGGAAUUAUUGGGCGUAAAGAGCUCGUAGGCGGUUUGUCGCGUCUGCUGUGAAAACCUAAGGCUCAACCUUGGGCUUGCAGUGGGUACGGGCAGACUAGAGUGCGGUAGGGGGUGACUGGAAUUCCUGGUGUAGCGGUGGAAUGCGUAGAUAUCAAGAGGAACACCUGAGGUGAAGACGGGUUGCUGGGCUGACACUGACGCUGAGGCGCGAAAGCCAGGGGAGCAAACGGG